UGGGGGAUAUUGCGCAAUGGGGGAAACCCUGACGCAGCAACGCCGCGUGAAGGAAGAAGGUUUUCGGAUUGUAAACUUCUUUUGUCAGGGACGAAUAGAUGACGGUACCUGACGAAUAAGCUCCGGCUAACUACGUGCCAGCAGCCGCGGUAAUACGUAGGGAGCGAGCGUUGUCCGGAAUUACUGGGUGUAAAGGGUGCGUAGGCGGCAGAGCAAGUCAGAUGUGAAAUACACGGGCUUAACCCGUGGGCUGCAUUUGAAACUGUUCAGCUUGAGUGGAGCAGAGGCAGGCGGAAUUCCCGGUGUAGCGGUGAAAUGCGUAGAGAUCGGGAGGAACACCAGUGGCGAAGGCGGCCUGCUGGGCUUUAACUGACGCUGAGGCACGAAAGCGUGGGUAGCAAACA
rnacentral:rRNA from 1 species